CAAAAACAUCUCCCCCUGAAAUAAGGAUUGGGGGUAGGCCCUGCCCAGUGGAGGUUUCUAAACGGAAAGGGUAACUUUUAAAGUAGCGUAAUAAUUUGUCCCUUAAUUAGGGUCUGAAUGAACGGGUUGACGUGGGAUAGCUGUCUUAGAAAAACCAAUUGAAAUUUUCUUUUUAGUGAAAAGCCUAAAAUAUUACUAAAAGACGAGAAGACCCCGUCGAGCUUGAGAGGGAAAAAGAAUUUUUAUUUCUUUUUUCCCAGUUUUGUUGGGGCAACAAUGGAGAAUAUAAACCUCCAGUUUUUAAAUGGAUCCACUUAUAGUGAAAAAAAGAAAAAGUUACCGCGGGGAUAACAGCGCAAGACAACCAGAGAGCUCAUAUCUAAGGUUGUAAGUGCGACCUCGAUGUUGGAUUAAGGAGAGCUCGGAGGUGUAGCAGCUUCCAGAGCGGGACUGUUCGUCCUUUAAAUCCUUACAUGAUCUGAGUU
rnacentral:rRNA from 1 species